UGGAGAUACUCUGGAGAAUCUCGUAAUGAGUACCGAAGGGGCAAGUGGAAACACGAAACUCUCAGGUCAAAGGACAGAGCUGCUUAG
rfam:Firmicutes bacterium CAG:536 genomic scaffold, scf64